AAAACAAUUACGCUGUUAUCCCUAGAGUAACUUUAACUUUUAACUUUUAUAAAAAAUCAAAUAAAAUCUAUUUCCAUUAAAAUUAACAAUAAAAAUGAAGUUAAUAUUUUCACCAACCGCCCCAGUUAAAAACAAUUUAAAAAAAUUUUUUUUAAAUUGUUCAAAAGAUUCAUAGGGUCUUCUCGUCCUCUUAUAAAAUUUUAACUUUUUCAUAAAAAAAUAAAAUUCAAUUAAAUAAAAUUGAGACAAUGAGGCCUUCAUUUAUUCAUUCAUACAAUUUUACAAUCAAUAAACUAAUUAUUAUGCUACCUUUGCA
rnacentral:rRNA from 1 species